AAAGGGUACCUAGACGGUAUAUCAAGCCUGCAAUACGGGACUAAUGUACUAGAGUUACUUACGAGGGGGUAUUAAAGUACUGCUGGUGUAGAGAUGAAAUUCUGUCAUACCUCAUUUCGUAAGAAAUACUACGGCACAGGUAUAGGCGAAAGCAUCCCCUUAUGUGAUAACUGACGUUGAAGGACGAAGGCUUUGUGUAGCGAACAGGAUUAGAUACCCCAAUAGUCAAAGCAGAAAAUGAUGAAUGUCAUAGAUUAGACAUAUAGUUUAUUCUAUAAAUGAAAGUGUAAGCAUUCCACCUCAAGAGUAAUUUGGCAACAUUGGAACUGAAAUCAUUAGACCGUUUCUGAAACCAGUAGUGAAGUAUGUUGUUUAAUUUGAUAAUCCGCAAAAAACCUUACCACAAUUUGAAUAUUUAGAUUUUAAUUUUCUUUUUUUUUUUUUUUCGCUGUUUUGUUUAGAUUUUCUCCUUAUAGGGAAAUUAUGAAAAGAGCAGCAUUAAA
rnacentral:rRNA from 1 species